GGAGGAUUUUGUGAACAGCUGGCUAGCUAACAAAGGUCACACUGACAUAAUACCGUUAGUUAGGGAUGAAGGAGACGAGGAUAGGAGUCAGCAGUCAGUGUCCAAACCUGGCAAGGGCACUGUGCCCUUGGUGCAACAUCAGGAUGGGGGAGAGGUUCGUUAGUUGGAAACAUGAAGAAAAUAUGUAAACAGCUGCAGCAUAGUAGCCUCAAGAAUGAUAAGGUAGGCGUAGUUAGCUGAUAAGUAACUAACCAAUAAUGAGCUCGCUUUUUGCAAUAUGUAUUAGCCUCAUUAACACCAAUAUAAAUGUAUGUGCCUAUCAAUAAAGUGUGGAGAUUUGCUGAUCACUCAUAUUGAGUGCUGCAUUUCUUCCGCCGAUUACCACAAAUGGUGACCCCGGACGUUAAAUCGGUAACGGCAACCACGGUGGAUCGGUGAAGGAGUUCGGGUCCUACAGCAGCAAGGACGGCGAAUAAGCACUGCUGAAAAAGCGAAAAGUGCCGCGCCCUGGGUGACCUUAUAGAAGAGCCCGGCCGAUACGUGCUGCCGAGACCUUGAAGGGCUGCAAAAACGUCGACGUUCUCAAAAAUGGAAAUGGAAAUGGAAAUGGAAAGGAUCCUUGUGGGUACCUGCUAAAUGGACCCGAGCAGCUGUGUUAGAUGGAACCGGACCCCAGACAACUGAGCAAGAAGGACCGUCAGCGACUGGAGGCAAAGCUGCUGAUCACCAUUCGACUGAUACUUCUCAAACUGAAAGGACACUAUAGCUUUGCCAUUGACCGAGCGAUUGAUCGGUGUCAAUCUCUGGACAGUAUACUAAGCCUGAUUCCAGCACUUCAUACGUUUUAUCAUAGAGGGCCUAAGAGAUUAGCUUGUAUUAAGUGUCAAAAUACUCAGUGUGCUGCAUGGAUAUUGUUCUUUUGCCAGGGGUAUCAGCAGCAGGUGCCCAUGCCAUUUUAAACAAGCUAGGGUGCUGGCUUGCUAAGCAAACUAAUGCCACCUUUUUAGCACUUUCUAACCUUUUGCUUGAUGUUGAUUCUAUUCGCUAUGCAACGCUUCAGAAUAGAGCUGCAAUUGACUCCCUUUUACUGACACAAGGCCAUGGUUGUGAAGAAUUUGAGGGCAUGUGUUGCAUGAACCUCUCUGAUCAUUCCCAGUCCAUUCACUCCCAGCUCUCUGAGCUGCGAAGGUUAACUGGAAAUUUACAGGUAGAAUCGGGCUCUGGUAUUGAUGAGUGGCUCAAAUCAUUAGGCUUGGGAUCAUGGUUGCGCUCUGUUGUUAGAGUUAUCAUUAUAGUAGGCAUUAUAGCUUUGUUAGUAGUGUUAGUUUUGCCUUGUUUUUGCAUGUGCUUACAGAACAUGGUUCAAAGAAUGAUAUUUGCUGCAUCUAAUCAGACUAUGCUUGUGCAACAGAAAAACAGGGGAAGUGUGGAGGAUUUUGUGAACAGCUGGCUAGCUAACAAAGGUCACACUGACAUAAUACCGUUAGUUAGGGAUGAAGGAGACGAGGAUAGGAGUCAGCAGUCAGUGUCCAAACCUGGCAAGGGCACUGUGCCCUUGGUGCAACAUCAGGAUGGGGGAGAGGUUCGUUAGUUGGAAACAUGAAGAAAAUAUGUAAACAGCUGCAGCAUAGUAGCCUCAAGAAUGAUAAGGUAGGCGUAGUUAGCUGAUAAGUAACUAACCAAUAAUGAGCUCGCUUUUUGCAAUAUGUAUUAGCCUCAUUAACACCAAUAUAAAUGUAUGUGCCUAUCAAUAAAGUUUGGAGAUUUGCUGAU